rnacentral:rRNA from 1 species
UACGGAGGAUCCGAGCGUUAUCCGGAUUUAUUGGGUUUAAAGGGUGCGUAGGCGGGAGAUUAAGUCGGUGGUGAAAUUUUGCAGCUCAACUGUAAAAGUGCCAUUGAUACUGGUUUCCUUGAGUGUGGAUGAAGUAGGCGGAAUUUGUGGUGUAGCGGUGAAAUGCAUAGAUAUCACGAGGAACUCCGAUUGCGCAGGCAGCUUACUAAACCAUAACUGACGCUCAGGCACGAAGGCGUGGGGAUCAAACAGG